UACAGAGGUCUCAAGCGUUUGUUCGGAUUCAUUGGGCGUAAAGGGUGCGUAGGCGGCGCGGUAAGUCGGGUGUGAAAUCUCGGAGCUUAACUCCGAAACUGCACUCGAUACUGCCGUGCUUGAGGACUGGAGAGGAGACUGGAAUUUACGGUGUAGCGGUGAAAUGCGUAGAUAUCGUAAGGAAGACCAGUGGCGAAGGCGGGUCUCUGGACAGUUCCUGACGCUGAGGCACGAAAGGUCAGGGGGAGCAAACGGG
rnacentral:rRNA from 1 species